GCGAAAGUGGACUGAUUUGAGUGUAUGGGCCUGCCCCUCACCUAUUGCAACCACGUAAAAAAGUGCUAAUACCUGCUUC
rfam:Mucilaginibacter sp. PAMC 26640, complete genome.